CAAUAGCGUAUAUUAAAGUUGUUGCAGUUAAAAAGCUCGUAGUUGGAUUUCUGGACGGAGCAGCCGGUCCGCCGCUGUGCGGUGUGUACUCGUGCUUGACUCGGUUCAUCCUUGUGGGGAAGCGCAUUUCGGCAUUCAGUUGUCGAGGCGGGGAACCACAUCAUUUACUGUGAAAAAAUUAGAGUGUUUAAAGCAGGCAUUUUGCUGUGAAUACAUUAGCAUGGAAUAAUAACAUAGGACUCUGAUUCUAUUUUGUUGGUUGGAGAUCAAGGUAAUGAUUAAUAGGGAUAGUUGGGGGUAUUCAUAUUUAAUUGUCAGAGGUGAAAUUCUUGGAUUUAUGAAAGAUGAACUCAUGCGAAAGCAUUUACCAAGGAUGUUUUCAUUAA
rnacentral:rRNA from 1 species